rnacentral:rRNA from 1 species
GAUGAACGCUGGCGGCGUGCCUAAUACAUGCAAGUCGAGCGAACGGACGAGAAGCUUGCUUCUCUGAUGUUAGCGGCGGACGGGUGAGUAACGCGUGUAUAACCUACCUAUAAGACUGGGAUAACUUCGGGAAACCGGAGAAAAUACCGGAUAAGAUUUUGAACCGCAUGGUUCAAAAGUGAAAGACGGUCUUUCGGUCACUUAUAGAUGGAUCCGCGCUGCAUUAGCUAGUUGGUAAGGUAACGGCUUACCAAGGCUACGAUGCAUAGCCGACCUGAGAGGGUGAUAGGCCACACUGGAGCUGAGACGCGGUCCAGGCUCCUGCGGGAGGCAGCAGUAGGGAAUCUUCCGCAGUGGGCGAAAGCCUGACGGAGCGGCGGCGCGUGUGUGGUGACAGUCUUCGGAUCGGAAUACUCUGUUAUUAGGGAAGAACAGAUGUGUAAGUAACUGUACACAUCUUGACGGUACCUAAUAAGAAAGCCCCGGCUAACUACGUG